UCCCUAUCACUUAUCAUAUUUUUUUUUUUUUUUUUUCUUCCUAUUAUUUAUCAUAGUGCCAUAGACCUUGUAAGUUCACUAUUCAUUCUGUUUUCUUUCUUACUUAUUCUUAUAUUAGUACCUUAUCUGUGUCUGGUUAUUCUCAUAUAUCUGUUGUAGCAACAUGCUAUAGUUCGCGAAUACCAGCAUGAAUUAAGUUAUGUAUUUUCUAGAAUACUUUAGUCAAUACACUUUAGGUAUUUAUCUUACCUUUGAUUUAGUUUGGUUACAUCUCUGUUACUUAGUCUGUUAGUAAUUUUUUUCUGACUUAUUUUGGAUUACUUAGUUCAGAUAGGUUCAUAUUACCGGAUGAGGGUGUAUGUAGACCUAAUUUAUUUAUUUUGUUCAGUAUUAGUUACCAUUGGAUCCAAUAAUUUAGUUUAUUUAGUAUUAGUAAGAAUUGGUCCAUAAAUUUGCCUGAUCGUUCUUCUUUGGAUAUACUCCUAUAUAAAUCUGGUGUCCAUUGAUAGUCCGAUUCUGGAUAAGUGUCCGAUUCUUCAUUUAUUUUGUGUAUUUAGUUGGAUAGGUUCGUAUUACCGGAUGUGGGUGUACGUAGACCUGAUCUGUUAUGUGGUUUAGUAUUGGUGUGAAUUGGUCCAUAAAUUUGCCUGGUCGUUCUUCUUUGGAUAUGCCUUUUAUGAAUCUGGUGUCCACUGAUAGUUCGACUUUGGAUUAAGUGUCCGAUUCCACAUUUAUUUUGGUUAUUGAGUUUUGGAUUCCUUUGGUAUGUUUAUUAUUGGUAUUAUUUGACAUUAGUGAGAAUUGUUCCAUAAAUCUUCCUGAUUGUUCUUCUCUGGAUAUACUAUUAUGAAUCUGGUGUCCAUUGUUAGUUCAGUUUUGGAUAAAGUGUUCAAUUCUUUACCUAUUUUAGUUACUGAUUUUUUUUAUUCACUUUGGUACAUUUACUUUUGAUAUGGUUCGAAUUGGCUCACACCUUUUCCUGGUUGUUCCGUUCUUGGAUAUACCCUUUAUAAAUCUGAUGUCCAUGGAUAGUUCAAUUUUGGUUUUAGUGCCCAAUUCGACACUUAGUUAUUAUUAUGAACUUUAGUACAAUAUUUAGUUUUGUUUUGACUUUUGAGCAAUAUAUGUUAAUAUUUGGUAGCAGAGAGUAACAUAGUAACAUUUUAGUAUGAGUUUGAGUCAUGUAUUGAUUUAUUUUUCCUUGACCAUUAGUUUAUAUUUAGAAGUAAUCUUGCGAAUCAACGUGGAUUGUUAGACUAUUGUAAAUUUAGUUGUUAAUAUUUUGAAGUUUAAAAAAAAAAAUUUUUUUUGGUUAAAAAAAUUUUUUUCCCGAGUAGGAGGGGAUUGUAACGGUCCACCCGUUAUAUUAUCAUUUUUAGCGCUGUAAUUAUUUUUAAAAAAAUAAUUAUUUUCUCUUGACCUCCCAUUUAAAUUCUUUAAUUUAUCGUAAAGGACUUCUCAUGUGACGUCACACUGUACGGAACAUAGUUGUUGAACCGUUCCUUGUCGUUUAAUUCGUGUUCCGUGAGAGUUUGACGUUUUCCUCGCUGACUGUGGGAGGAAUGAGAGGCACUUGGCCGGUGGCUGCGAGGUUGACAGGUUGGUGUUGGUGGUUAGUACCGUAAAUGGCGGUUAAUUUCUUCGAAAUUAAUUUUUAUUUCAACUAAGUUUGGAAGUAUAGUAAAAAGUUACCACCACUUGUUUCCUGGAGUACGUGUUUCCUGGAGUAAGGAUGGGAGUACCAUCAGUGGAAGAGGAAUAAAAAAUUAACCGCCAUUUGGAAGAAAACUAACCCUCAUGUGAUGUCGUACCCACCUUGACUACCUAGGGAAGCCACCUUGACCUUAUUGCAGCUACCGCCAAGUCAAACUGGGAGUAUGUUUUGGGAACAAGCUUUUUGGGGGACAUUCCAGCUCCUUUUCGUCCUGCCACCUGGGCCUACGGGGGGGCAUGGAGGUGCAUCAUAGUGAUGCUCAUUUUCUAGGAUGCAACCGCAACCUCGUUUGGGAACAUUUAGUGAGGAGUUUUAGUAACUAUUGGUUUUUUUUAUAUUUCAGACUAUCUGUUAAAUACACUAUGUUUUUUUUCCAGAUUUAGGUUACCUCUGUUUUUUUCUGACAUAUGUAUUUGUAUAUUAGAUUAUUUGGUUCCCAAACUUUGUAUCUACGGUAACUUCUUGUGCACAGGAAUAAGCCUAGAGAAAAUUAGGUUUUUAAUACUUUAUUAUUGCUUUGAUAUUGGUUUAUGUAAUUCGGGUAAAUUUAUUUUGUAACAUUACUUGCUUGUUUCCCAAAUAUUGUAUUUAUUCGCUUUAUUUCGUUUGUUCGGUUACUUCGUCGUUACUUUAUUUCAUUGCAUUUGCUCGGUUAAUUUAGGUCAUUUUGUCGGUAUUUUUCUUAACUUCACUUCUAUAACGUUUAUUCAUUUGUAUAUUUAAUUUUGCUUUAUUCAGUAUUGUAUUUUCUCUUAGUGAGGCUUGGGCCUAUUUAUUUGUAUUAUUUUCAUCUUCGUCGGUUUCCUUUAGUUGUACGUAGCAGGCGUACUAUAACCAUUUGGUAGAAGACUUAUGUAAUUUUGUACCCUAUAUGUUAGUAAGAGGUACUUAUAUUUAAGUUUGUAACAGAUAACAUUAUUGUUGUUAUCUUUAAAAUAUAUAUAUCUUCUUGUAUAACUUAUGUCAUUUUAGAGUCACAGCAUAAUAUGAACUUGCUUAACUCAAAGAUUGUUAAAAAUCUGGUAGUUAUUUUUAAUAAAUAUGUUUAUUUAUUUUGUAUAUCAUUUAUUUUUAUUAUUCCUUUAUGUUCAUUAUUACAGGUUUGAUAUAUUUAAUAUCUGACAGCAGUAUAAGAUACCUGGGAGAAUGAUCGAAGAUCAUUUUCAUGGCGCCCAUGAUUUGUUAGAUUUAUUUAUCUUGUUCAUCUUUAGAAAUUAUUCAUCUUCAUUCCUCUUCAGUACAUUAUUCUUAUUUUAUUAUUUCAUAUUUUAGUCAUUAUUACUAUCUACAUAGAGCUACUGUUCUUCGACAGGCAUGCAAACGAGCCGUAUCCAUCCAUGAGUGUCAAGUGGUUUUCUUGCAUCUCUU